GUGUCAGCAGCCGCGGUAAUACGGAGGGUGCAAGCGUUAUCCGGAUUCACUGGGUUUAAAGGGUGCGUAGGUGGGUCUGUAAGUCAGUGGUGAAAUCUCAGAGCUUAACUCUGAAACUGCCAUUGAUACUAUAGACCUUGAAUUUCCUGGAGGUUAGCGGAAUAUGUCAUGUAGCGGUGAAAUGCUUAGAUAUGACAUAGAACACCGAUUGCGAAGGCAGCUGACUAUAGGUAGAUUGACACUGAGGCACGAAAGCGUGGGGAUCAAACAGGAUUAGAUACCCUGGUAGUCC
rnacentral:rRNA from 1 species